rnacentral:rRNA from 1 species
UACGUAGGUGGCAAGCGUUGUCCGGAAUUACUGGGCGUAAAGAGCGCGCAGGCGGCUGGUCAAGUCCGAUGUGAAAGCUCCCGGCUUAACUGGGAAAUUGCAUCGGAAACUGAUCGGCUUGAAGGUGGGAGAGGGUAGUGGAAUUCCCGGUGUAGUGGUGAAAUUCGUAGAUAUUCGGAAGAACACCAGUGGCGAAGGCGGCUCACUGGACUGGUAUUGACGCUGAGGUGCGAAAGCGUGGGGAGCAAACAGG